rnacentral:rRNA from 1 species
UACAGAGGGUGCAAGCGUUGUUCGGAAUUAUUGGGCGUAAAGCGCGUGUAGGCGGCUUUGCAAGUCGGGUGUGAAAGCCCUCAGCUCAACUGAGGAAGUGCGCCCGAAACUGCAGAGCUUGAGUACCGGAGAGGAUGGCGGAAUUCCCCAAGUAGAGGUGAAAUUCGUAGAUAUGGGGAGGAACACCGGUGGCGAAGGCGGCCAUCUGGACGGAUACUGACGCUGAGACGCAAAAGCGUGGGGAGCAAAGCGGG